rnacentral:lncRNA from 1 species
AAAGAUAGCUUUAUCUCUCACUUGACCUGUUGAAUAGUUUGUCAUUUCCAGCAGCAAUCACUGAACAUCUGCCCAACCUGAAAGCCAAGAGCAACAGAAGUCCUCUUCCCACAGCCCCACAGAACCAGGUACCCGCAGACCAGAGAUGACAGGAAGCUCAAAGAAACAUCCCUGGCACGAUACACACACCAGCCGACAGACAAAGCCUUGGACCACAGAACAGACCAAGACUUAAAAACUGUUUGUGUACUAAAAGAACAAGUUUCAUCAUUUCAGAAAUCCUGAAGAACAGAGAGCACAGAACAAGCCCUGCCCAACGCUGCACAGCUUGUUCCAGCAUCCUGUGCUACUGCUGCUAUUUCCUGCAGGGUGAAAUACUUCCAUCAGUUCAUCUGAAAGUUCACGGAGAUGCAGACUAUGAUUAGCAAACACUGACAUCCCACGCAGCGCACGGACAUCCAUCCUGCUUGUUAAAGACAUACCAAACAUAGGAAGUCAGGGCUGCAUGGCUAUAGGAUACACAGCUGAGUAAACCAGGCACCACGGAGCAUACACCACUGCAAGCUGUUCUUGUUUAGCUGCACAUAAAGCAAAAUAUUACAUAUUUUUCCUUAAGAUGACAUGCAUGAGGCACCUCAAAGCUAUACUACUACCAGCUGCUGCUUAUAGAAGCAUCUAUGGGCUUCUCAGAAGAUCUCUGAAGAAAUAGGUUCAGAAACUUUUGUAUUCUUCAGCUGUAAUACAGAUAGAGCCAGUUGAUAAUGAGACCAGAGUAUAAUAAAACCUGAAUAUUUCUGCAUUUGCCACUGAUGAAGAAUCAAAACAAAAGGCCUUUUGCCAUGAAUCAUCAGGGACAGCAUGCAGCUACAACAAUGAGACCAACAGAUGUGGGUUGUGCUGUUGCAGAAAUCAAAUGUCCUUCCAGAACAUUAUUCACUCAUUUAGAAAUACAGAACAGCUUUGUUGGGAUACACAGGCAAGAAGUAUCGCUACAGAGGAAAGGAAAGGGAAGAAAUGGGCUGCCAGAUCAGAGAGUUCAGCUGCCUGAAGCGAACCAGAAAAGCCCCUCAGUGCUUUACACUUUCGUGUAGAUUGGUUUUCUUAAUAAAACAAAAUGAUCGACACCUCAAGCCACAAACUGAAAUUAAAGGACCUCAGACAAG